GCUAAGGGAGCUGUGUGUAAGCAAUAUAACUGUUAAUUAUUAGAUGUAAGUAAGAUGACUUGCUCUUGGCG
rnacentral:tRNA from 1 species